AAAGCUUAACUACCUCAGCCCCCAAUUACUAAGAUUUCAACUAACCCCUCAUUCCUACUGAACCGCUUUAUAUUACUAUAAAAAUGAUUAUGCUAGAACUAGUAACAAGAACUCGCCAUUCUCCUCAAUGUAAACAUAAACCAAAACGGACACUCCAUUGGUAAUUAACGUAAAUGCAAAACCGUAACAACACAUACCAGAAAAACUUAUGGCCCCCCAACGUUACCCUAACACCAGAACAUUACAGGAAAGAUUAAAAGAAAGAGAAGGAACUCGGCAAACUUUAGCCCCGCCUGUUUACCAAAAACAUCGCCUCCUGAUUAAAUAUAAGAGGUCCAGCCUGCCCAGUGAUAAUAUUUAACGGCCGCGGUAUACUGACCGUGCGAAGGUAGCAUAAUCACUUGUUCUUUAAAUAGGGACUCGUAUCAACGGCAUCACGAGGGCUAUACUGUCUCCCCUCUCCAAUCAGUGAAACUGAUCCCCCCGUGAAGAAGCGGGGAUUUAACUAUAAGACGAGAAGACCCCAUGGAGCUUUAAACUCAACAUGUACCUGUAUAACUAUUUAUCAAUUUAACCUCAAGGCCUGCAUGUUAGCUUUCGGCUGGGGGGGCCACGGAGUAAAAUCAAACCUCCACAACAAACGGGCAAAUACCCUUAUCUACGACUGACAAAUCCAAGAAUCACCAAAGUGAUGUUUAAUGAUCCGACAACUCGAUUAAUGAACCAAGUUACCCUGGGGAUAACAGCGCAAUCCGCUUCAAGAGCCCAUAUCGACAAGCGGGUUUACGACCUCGAUGUUGGAUCAGGGUAUCCUAGUGGUGCAACCGCUACUAAUGGUUCGUUUGUUCAACGAUUAAAA
rnacentral:rRNA from 1 species